rnacentral:tRNA from 1 species
GGGCCGGUGCACGGUAACGUGUUGAUUUAGUUAGUCGUAUUAUUCGUCGUGGUGGGCUCAUAAUCCAUUGGUCGUAGGUUCGAGCCCUACCGGGCCCACCA